rnacentral:tRNA from 1 species
UCCUGGUUAGUACAAUGGUCAGUAUAGGACACUCUCACUGUUCUUCUUCUCCUAUUGCGGAUGGAAGAUUGUGCUGUUCAGAUCGGGGUUCGAUUCCCCGGCCGGGAA